rnacentral:tRNA from 1 species
GCCGGGAUAGCUCAGCUGGGAGAGCAACAGACUGAAGUCCCUUUGGAAUCUGGAGGUCCCGUGUUCAAUCCACGGUCCUGGCA